GAUGCUUAGUGUUUGUGUAGCUAGUAUUCUCAGCAUACAAGGACCAAGUAGUCUCUUCCUUUCAGAAUGAGAUAUAGUUCGUGCAUCCAAGUCCCCAUAAUGCCAAAUUCCCACCAGGGAUAUGCAAUUUAGCUGUUAGGCUAAAGGUUAGUUGUGAGAAAUUUUAGGUUUAGUGACCGUUUGGUAUUUAAGUUGGAGGGUCAAAAUUGCUUUUUAG
rnacentral:misc_RNA from 1 species